rnacentral:lncRNA from 1 species
AUUAUUAGCUAUUAUUAUCAAUAAAAACUUCAAAAAUGAAAUUUUUUUCUUGUCUUUUUUCCUGAUUUUAUAAAUUUUUCUAAUGAUAGUUCCUUUUCCACUAUUGCAUUGACAGAUAAAUCGAGUAAACGGUUUUCUGAUGAUGCCCGACGAAGUAAGAUUGACCUCGAUGCCUCCCAAAUUACAGAUGUACAAAACUAUAAGUGUGUUCUUCUAGCCUCUUGCUAUUUCAUUAAUUCCUUUUUCACAAUGUAAGAGCGGGUUUUUACCACUUUUUCAUAAUUCUUAUUGGAAUAGGAUCUUUGUGGCAACUUGGAACGUUGCUGGAAAAUCUCCACCCAGCAAUUUGAAUCUUGAAGAGUGGCUACAUAAUUCACCUGCAGCUGAUAUUUAUGUUCUUGGGUUUGUAAAUUUUUCAUUAGUUACAAAAUUUAGCCUUUUUAUUGAUUGUAGAGUAAAGGGAUGAUUAAUGGAAGUCUCUUUAUAUUAUCACUUCUAGGUUUCAAGAAAUUGUUCCUUUAAAUGCCGGUAAUGUUCUGGGAGCAGAAGACAAUGGUCCGGCUAGAAAAUGGUUAGCACUUAUUAGGAAAACUUUGAACAGUGUUCCAGGCAACAAUGGUGGCUAUCAUAUGCCUUCACCAGUUCCUGAUCCAAUAGUUGAAAUAGACGCCGACUUUGAAGGAACAAAUAGAGAAAAAGCUUCCUCUUUCUUCGAAUGUCGUUCAUUUCAGUCAUUGAGCCGUAGUAUGAGAAUGAUGGAUAGUGACAUGUCAAUUACACAGCCUAGUCUAGACCGUCGAUUUAGUGUUUGUGAUAGGGUUAUCCUUGGAGAUAGACGGACUGACUAUGAUCCCAAUGUCAGAUGGGAUGGUUCAUCUGAUGAUGAAAAUGGCCUGUUCGAUUCACCUUAUAUCAUGCAGUACUCUCCAAUUUCCUAUGAUGUUUCUGGCCUGAUGGAGGAAAGGGACAGACAAUCCGGGCAGUCUAGGUAUUGUUUGAUUGCAAGCAAGCAGAUGGUUGGGAUUUUUCUCACAGUAUGGAUAAAGAGUGAUAUGAGAGAUUCUGUUCAAAAUCUAAAGGUUUCUUGUGUUGGCAGAGGAUUGAUGGGUUAUCUCGGAAAUAAGGUAUUCUUUCAACUUAUUUGGAAACUGUGUAAAUUGAAUCCCUCCAUAGCUAAGCCAAUGAAAUCUCUUUUUAAUAACUUUUCCAGGGUUCAAUUUCAAUUAGCAUGUCUUUGCACCAAACGAGCUUCUGCUUCAUCUGUAGUCAUCUAACCUCUGGAGAGAAGGAUGGUGAUGAGUUGAGGAGGAAUUCCGAUGUCAUGGAAAUUUUGAGGAAAACAAGAUUUCCACAAGUUCAUGGAAUAGGGGAUGAGACCUCCCCCCAAACAAUCCUUGAGCAUGAGUAAGUUCCUCAUCCUUAACUCAUCAUGCCCAUUCAAUAUUUUCUUUGGCUUUCGUUUGUGCUAUGCCAGUGUGUUUCACAUUUUUGCAAUAUGAGGAAGUGCCGUUUCUAUAGAAACAUUAAUUUAUAUGGUGAACUCUAGAAUAAUGAGGUUCAAAGUCUAAAUCAUCUUUGUGUUUUCUAGUCGAAUUAUAUGGCUUGGGGAUUUGAAUUAUCGAAUAGCCCUCUCAUAUCGAUGUGCAAAAGCUCUCGUCGAGAUGCAUAACUGGAGAGCUUUGUUAGAAAAUGACCAGGCAAGUAAAUGGAAUUCCCUUAAAAGAGCUUCAAUUUUAUUGUCAUAUUAUGUGGACUUUGACAAGUAUAUGGAUUGCUCUAUUUACACCAUUGGUCAUUUUAUCAACAGCUUCGGAUAGAGCAAAGAGAGCGGCGUGUUUUUGCUGGAUGGAAUGAAGGAAGAAUAUACUUCCCACCGACUUACAAGUAUUCAAAUAAUUCCAACAGAUAUGCUGGGGAGAAUAUGCACCCCAAAGAGAAACGUAGAACACCUGCAUGGUAAUACUUCUUUUUAGAAGAAAUAUAGGCAAGCAAAUAUGUCUACAUAUGGUGAAUUCUAUAGAUAAAUAAAGGAAUUUAGGCCAGACUACCUAUAUUACAUGUAUCUACAAACAGACUUCGAGCAAAUAAUUCCAACAGAUAUGCUGGGGAGAAUAUGCACCCCAAAGAGAAACGUAGAACACCUGCAUGGUAAUACUUCUUUUUAGAAGAAAUGCUAGCAAGCAUAAUAUGUCUACAUAUGGUGACUUCUAUAGAUAAAUAAAGGAAUUUAGGCCAGGCUGGCUAUAUUACAUGUAUCUACAAACAGCCUUCGAGACAGCAAUUAUGAACAUGCACUUAUUAGCUUAAGUGGAUCUUUUGGAUACACUACUAAUACUGUGUUUUCAUGGAUAAAGGUGUGAUAGAAUAUUAUGGCAUGGUCAAGGCCUCCGUCAACUAUCGUACGUCAGAGGAGAGUCUAGAUUCUCAGAUCAUAGACCAGUUUAUGCUAUAUUUUCGGCAGAAGUCGAGUCUAUUAAUCGUAGCCGAUUCAAGAGAAGUACGAGUUAUUCAAGCUCUAGGAUUGAGGUUGAAGAGAUACUGCCUUGCUCCCAUGGAUAUGGUGAACUAAAUUUCUACUGAAGAAUGUUUCCAAAUUUAAGUACUUGAAAGUCAGACAUUAUCAACAAAUAUUAGAAAAGAGACUGCUAAGCAAGUAAGUUUUCUUAAACGAAUGCACAACUCAACUUGCAUAUGUUUCUUGAACUUUCUUUAUCUCUACACACACACACACACACACACACACACAAACUAGAUGUUGUAAGUUUUUACUUACUGAUUGAUGCAUGUUUUAUACAGAUAGGACAUCGCGUAAUCAUCGCCGUUAACAUCUUUGUCUUUGGUUCGAUCAGAAUUAUCCUUCAACAAUUCAGGUGAUUUACAAUUUCUAUUUGUCUCAAAAUUUCUCCAUUUUUUCUCCCUAGAGUUCCAAAGUGAUUGAUAUCUUUGUCAUUUGCAAUGUUUUCUGCAUUUUGCUGUCAACCUGAGAAUUUGAUGCCUACUGAAUACAUUCAACAAUUAACUUUUGCAAUUUAUUCUCUUCUCUUAACAAAAAUCUCGGUGAAAAUCUUUACUCAUCAUAUCUUGUUUAAUAAUGGUUCUAUAUUUCCAGACGAGCCACGAACACGAUGCCUUAUCUGUGACAAAGAUGUUAAUUUUUUUAUUUGAUGGAAGGUAAGUAUUGGCAUCAUCAUUUCUCCCGUUUCCUGACAAUCCUCCAUUUUCUAAUUCUUCUGUGCUUUUCCUUGUCUUGUCAGGUAAGAAACUUCACAAAUAGUUGCUAAAAGCACUGCCCUUCCACUCAGUUCUUUCGUCAGCAACUUUUCACCAUGUACAUUGUAAAUUUGGCAUCAAGAACAAGAGUUUUAAGAUCAAACUGAAUAAUUAGGUAAUAAAUGAUAUUUCUCCUUUUUCUAUCACACCCAUUUUAACUACCGAAACACGAAUAAAAAUAAUUCCCUUCAUGUUUUUUCAGGAUGCUUCUGUAGUGAUAGAAAACAAAUGACUUGGUCGAAUAUACUCGAGGAUUUCAGAGGACCCUGUAAAAAGUCGAAAAAUACUUUUUACUAAUUACGAUAUUCUGUCAUGUUCCCAUUACGACAGGGAAGAGCAGGGACAUGGGCGGAUAGGCGUUUCAAGUUGCUAGUGAAGAAAGGAAAAGUUAAAAAACAUACAAUGAUACUAAGAUUCCAGUCCUGUAGCAAUCAAUGAAUAAAUACUGAAAAGUUGAGCAUUUUACUGAAAGAUAAAGGCAUUUCUUUGAUGGUCACUGCUGUUUUAUUCUUCUUUUUAUGUUAGGUGUGUAAAUUCUGCAAGCUUUGGCAGUGUCUAUUGCAGCUGUUUGCUUAUAGCUAGGUUUCCCUUAAUGGAAGGGAUACACAUACACACACAAUUGGAAGUGUGGAACUUGAAAAAAUAUGAAAUGUAAGUUUCAACUACUAUGUCUAGUAAAGUGUGAAUUAGACGGUACUCGACAAUAUUAUAAAAAGGAAUAAGGAAAAAGAACUUAAG